CCUACGGGAGGCAGCAGUGGGGAAUAUUGCACAAUGGGGGGAACCCUGAUGCAGCGACGCCGCGUGAGUGAAGAAGGAUUUCGGUAUGUAAAGCUCUAUCAGCAGGGAAGAAGAGGACGGUACCUGACUAAGAAGCCCCGGCGAACUACGGGCCAGCAGCCGCGGUAAUACGUAGGGGGCAAGCGUUAUCCGGAUUUACUGGGUGUAAAGGGAGCGGAGACGGCAGGGCAAGGCUGGAGGGAAAGCCCGGGGCUCAACCCCGGGACUGCUUGGGAAACUGCCAGGCUGGAGUGCUGGAGAGUUAAUCGGAAUUCCUCGUGUAGCGGUGAAAUGCGUAGAUAUUAGGAGGAACCCCAGUGGCGAAGGCGGCUUACUGGACAGUAACUGCCGUUGAGGCUCGAAAGCGUGGGGAGCAAACAGGAUUAGAUACCCCUGUAGUC
rnacentral:rRNA from 1 species